UUUCCGUAGGUGAACCUGCGGAAGGAUCAUUACUGAGUGAGGGCCCUCUGGGUCCAACCUCCCACCCGUGUUUAUUGUACCUUGUUGCUUCGGUGAGCCCGCCUCACGGCCGCCGGGGGGCAUCUGCCCCCGGGCCCGCGCUCGCCGAAGAUACCCUUGAACUCUGUCUGAAGUUUGCAGUCUGAGCGAAAACUAAAUAAGUUAAAACUUUCAACAACGGAUCUCUUGGUUCCG
rnacentral:misc_RNA from 1 species